CAAAGUGUAGUAUCUGUUCUUAUCAGCUUAAUAUCUGNUACGNCCCCUAAUUNGGGGCUUCGAUAUUAAACUGAUUUUUGAACCUCGGCGAAGUGUCAGGGGCUUGCUCCACCUUCGCCACGGGUUGGC
rnacentral:snRNA from 1 species